CCUACGGGCGGCUGCAGUGGGGAAUAUUGGGCAAUGGGCGCAAGCCUGACCCAGCAACGCCGCGUGGAGGAUGAAGGUUUUCGGAUUGUAAACUUCUGUCCUCAAGGACGAAAAAAAUGACGGUACUUGGGGAGGAAGCCCCGGCUAACUACGUGCCAGCAGCCGCGGUAAUACGUAGGGGGCAAGCGUUGUCCGGAAUUACUGGGCGUAAAGGGAGCGUAGGCGGUCUUUUAAGUUAGAUGUGAAAUACCCGGGCUCAACUUGGGAGGUGCAUCUGAAACUGGGAGACUUGAGUGCAGGAGAGGAAAGUGGAAUUCCUAGUGUAGCGGUGAAAUGCGUAGAUAUUAGGAGGAACACCAGUGGCGAAGGCGACUUUCUGGACUGUAACUGACGCUGAGGCGCGAAAGCUGGGGGAGCGAACAGGAUUAGAUACCCCUGUAGUC
rnacentral:rRNA from 1 species